GGGUACAUGGUCUAGUGGUAUGAUUUUCGCUUCGCAUGUGAAAGGUCCUGGGUUCAAUUCCCAGUGUAUCCA
rnacentral:tRNA from 1 species